rnacentral:rRNA from 1 species
UUUUUAGAGUUUGNNUUNCCCGCUCAGGACGAACGCUGGCGGCGUGCCUAAUACAUGCAAGUCGAACGCUUCUUUCCUCCCGAGUGCUUGCACUCAAUUGGAAAGAGGAGUGGCGGACGGGUGAGUAACACGUGGGUAACCUACCCAUCAGAGGGGGAUAACACUUGGAAACAGGUGCUAAUACCGCAUAACAGUUUAUGCCGCAUGGCAUAAGAGUGAAAGGCGCUUUCGGGUGUCGCUGAUGGAUGGACCCGCGGUGCAUUAGCUAGUUGGUGAGGUAACGGCUCACCAAGGCCACGAUGCAUAGCCGACCUGAGAGGGUGAUCGGCCACACUGGGACUGAGACACGGCCCAGACUCCUACGGGAGGCAGCAGUAGGGAAUCUUCGGCAAUGGACGAAAGUCUGACCGAGCAACGCCGCGUGAGUGAAGAAGGUUUUCGGAUCGUAAAACUCUGUUGUUAGAGAAGAACAAGGACGUUAGUAACUGAACGUCCCCUGACGGUAUCUAACCAGAAAGCCACGGCUAACUACGUGCCAGCAGCCGCGGUAAUACGUAGGUGGCAAGCGUUGUCCGGAUUUAUUGGGCGUAAAGCGAGCGCAGGCGGUUUCUUAAGUCUGAUGUGAAAGCCCCCGGCUCAACCGGGGAGGGUCAUUGGAAACUGGGAGACUUGAGUGCAGAAGAGGAGA